GACAUGACGUGUGGCUGUCGUAAAAACCCUAUUUGUAAACAACCAGUCCUUUAACUCGGGGCUGCGUCAUAAACACGGAGCGCUUGGAAGACCACGAUGUCAUCUUCCUUCUGUCAGGAGGAUCAAAGUGAAGCUACAGGAGUUUCAUUAACGUCAACAACUUGGACCAAACAGUUUGUUUUGCUUGAUGAAGAGCAGGAAGGGCAGCCUGGAGAGAAAGAGUAGCCGGGUUGAGCCCACUAACAUCAUCCACGUACCACGAGGAAGAUGAGGGUAAGAAAUGAUCCUACCAUUAAAGAGACUGUGAAAAGAACGUUGAGAACAUCACCACUCUACAGGAAGACACAGUCCAGUAAUGGGUGUCAGAAGUUCAGUAGUGAACGACAGAAACAAACAAUCCAAAUUACCUGCAGAACGCCCUUGAUGGACGCUUCAGCUGCAUCGUCAGACUGGCAGUACUGAUGCAUUUACUGAGAGGGGACGUGAGGGCCUACUCUGCGUGCUCAGAGUUCAAGCCCAGCAGGCUGCAGCGGGCCUGACAUAUUCUGGAACAGCAGCACAGUCUUUAGAUGACUCCUCUGAAGAUGAAAACAUGGCGAGUUCUCUCAAGAGAAGCAGUACAGGUGUGCCUCAGCUCCACGGUCCCUCCUGCAGCCUCCGCUCCUGAUGCUAACCUCAUGUCUCCAUCACACCAAGCAGCAGACCUGGAUUGACAGACCUUUCUCCAGAGCUGCCCCCUCCCUCUGAAACCCCCCUCUCCAAAACACUAUUUGUGUAGUUUUUAAAGUAUUUUUUGCAUGAGAAUUGUUGAUCAUAUCAUUUCCAGCAGAUGCCUUAAUAUAAUGUUUGUGCACAAUAAAUGACAUUGUUCAUAA